CAAGUACUCCCUUCGUCCGGAAUUACUUGUCAUCAAAAUGGAUGUGUCUAGAACUAAAUACAUCUAGAUACAUCCAUUUCAAUGACGAGUAUUUUCGGACAGAGGGAGUACAAG
rnacentral:pre_miRNA from 1 species